AGAGUUUGAUCAUGGCUCAGAUUGAACGCUGGCGGAAUGCUUUACACAUGCAAGUCGAACGGCAGCACGGGGCAACCUGGUGGCGAGUGGCGAACGGGUGAGUAAUACAUCGGAACGUGCCCAAUCGUGGGGAUAACGUAGCGAAAGUUACGCUAAUACCGCAUACGAUCUACGGAUGAAAGCGGGGAUCGCAAGACCUCGCGCGAAUGGAGCGGCCGAUGUCAGAUUAGGUAGUUGGUGGGUAAAGGCUCACCAAGCCAACGAUCUGUAGCUGGUCUGAGAGGACGACCAGCCACACUGGAACUGAGACACGGUCCAGACUCCUACGGGAGGCAGCAGUGGGGAAUUUUGGACAAUGGGCGCAAGCCUGAUCCAGCCAUUCCGCGUGCAGGAUGAAGGCCUUCGGGUUGUAAACUGCUUUUGUACGGAACGAAAAGGUCCUGGUUAAUACCUGGGGCUCAUGACGGUACCGUAAGAAUAAGCACCGGCUAACUACGUG
rnacentral:rRNA from 1 species